GAUGAACGCUGGCGGCGUGCCUAAUACAUGCAAGUCGAGCGAACGGACGAGAAGCUUGCUUCUCUGAUGUUAGCGGCGGACGGGUGAGUAACACGUGGAUAACCUACCUAUAAGACUGGGAUAACUUCGGGAAACCGGAGCUAAUACCGGAUAAUAUUUUGAACCGCAUGGUUCAAAAGUGAAAGACGGUCUUGCUGUCACUUAUAGAUGGAUCCGCGCUGCAUUAGCUAGUUGGUAAGGUAACGGCUUACCAAGGCAACGAUGCAUAGCCGACCUGAGAGGGUGAUCGGCCACACUGGAACUGAGACACGGUCCAGACUCCUACGGGAGGCAGCAGUAGGGAAUCUUCCGCAAUGGGCGAAAGCCUGACGGAGCAACGCCGCGUGAGUGAUGAAGGUCUUCGGAUCGUAAAACUCUGUUAUUAGGGAAGAACAUAUGUGUAAGUAACUGUGCACAUCUUGACGGUACCUAAUCAGAAAGCCACGGCUAUCUACGUG
rnacentral:rRNA from 1 species